GACGAACGCUGGCGGCGUGCUUAACACAUGCAAGUCGAACGGUAAGGCCCUUCGGGGUACACGAGUGGCGAACGGGUGAGUAACACGUGGGUGAUCUGCCCUGCACUUCGGGAUAAGCCUGGGAAACUGGGUCUAAUACCGGAUAGGACCACUGCCUGCAUGGGUGGUGGUGGAAAGCUUUUGCGGUGUGGGAUGGGCCCGCGGCCUAUCAGGUUGUUGGUGGGGUGAUGGCCUACCAAGGCGACGACGGGUAGCCGGCCUGAGAGGGUGACCGGCCACACUGGGACGGAGAUACGGCCCAGACUCCUACGGGAGGCAGCAGUGGGGAAUAUUGCACAAUGGGCGCAAGCCUGAUGCAGCGACGCCGCGUGAGGGAUGACGGCCUUCGGGUUGUAAACCUCUUUCAGCACCGACGAAGCGCAAGUGACGGUAGGUGCAGAAGAAGGACCGGCCAACUACGUGCCAGCAGCCGCCGUAA
rnacentral:rRNA from 1 species